CUGCAGACUCUGCAUUAGUCAACUGAAGAAAUUCAGCUGUUUUCUACCUUUUUUGUUCAUUUAGUUUCAAGAAAAGCCACCUGUUCACUCCCAGAUGUUGCUAAGGGCGCACAAAGGAUCUGCAGAGGCAUUAAUUCUCACAACCACCGUUAAUGCUGUAUCUUUCCUAACAGACAAGUGGAGCAUUUUAAGCUGCCCGAAAUUGGGACUGUUUCCAAAAGCUUUGUUGGUGCUGGGCAGAGCUCUAAUCACCCCUGACACUGCCAUCUGAAUACCGCACCUCCAGCUGUUCCUGUGGCAACAAGCUGCCUUGUGUAACUAAUCAAGUGAUAAGGCUAGAAGAAGGGGACCACACAGAACACCAAUGAGUUACACCAGCUGCCGCUCUGUAACAGGCAUUAGACUGCAGAGGUUAAGCUUCCAUCUGAGGAUCGCAAGGGGAUUUUGGCAAAAAUUUCUCACUGCUGUAAACUCCACCAAUGGCAAGACUAAGGUCCAGAUUCUCAAAGAUUGGGACAGAAGUAAUUUAAGACACAGACAACACUCAGGAAAUCUCACUGAAACUAACUUGCUUCAUAUGGACCUGUAUUAAAGGCAAGAAAUCUCUCAGCAGGAAAGACGGAGGAGGAGAAUGGAAGGAUGGAAGAAGCGCUGGAAGAACCAACUGUUGGACUUGAAGACAUUACUGCAACAUGAAAAAAAGAGGUGAUCGU